GCCGAGCUCAGUAGCGUGGGCUUGUAACUCAAGUGAGGGCAUCAGUGUGGUGGAAUGUUGAACAUGCCCAGAAGGUAGGGCUUGUGUGACAAUUCUCUGGCCUGCCCUGUCCAAGCAAAGAGUUGGGUCUUGUGGGCCAAGCGAAGGCUUGGGCUGCUGGGCUCCUAAAGUGGGGUGGACUGCGUGAGGCUGGUUUCACAGAGCAACGAAUAGCUCCCGCUCUGUGCAGUGGAAGGAUAACGAGCCAGUGUCAUAUAAGUUCAACGAAUGUCUGAUGGGCUGUUCUAGUUAAACUACCACAUUU
rnacentral:SRP_RNA from 15 species